rnacentral:rRNA from 1 species
GUGGGGAAUCUUAGACAAUGGGGGAAACCCUGAUCUAGCCAUGCCGCGUGAGCGAUGAAGGCCUUAGGGUUGUAAAGCUCUUUCAGCUGGGAAGAUAAUGACGGUACCAGCAGCAGAAGCCCCGGCUAACUCCGUGCCAGCAGCCGCGGUAAUACGGAGGGGGCUAGCGUUGUUCGGAAUUACUGGGCGUAAAGCGCACGUAGGCGGAACAGAAAGUCAGAGGUGAAAUCCCAGGGCUCAACCUUGGAACUGCCUUUGAAACUCAUGGGCUUGAGGUCGAGAGAGGUGAGUGGAAUUCCGAGUGUAGAGGUGAAAGUGGUAGAUAUUCGGAGGAACACCAGUGGCGAAGGCGGCUCACUGGCUCGAUACUGACGCUGAGGUGCGAAAGCGUGGGGUGCAAACAGGAUUAGAAACCCCAGUAGUCC